CAAAUGAUUAGGCAAAUAAUAAAAAAAAAAUGUAGUUUGUGUUGACAUUGCAAACGUGUGUGAGUGUGUGUGGUUUGCGCUUGUGUGCUGCGGCUGUAACCUUACAACUUGGUUCACAGACGCGCAGUAAUUUCGAAGAAACAAGCAAACAGACUGAAUCGCUCAUGAAGAAAAUGAUGGAGAUGCGGCAAGUGCACAAGGAGGAGGCGAGCGAGGAGUGCGGCGGCGGCGCCUCGCGCGCCGGCUACCUGUUCCUCAUGGAGAAGAAGGCUUUCGGUACAACGUGGAGUAAACAGUAUUGCAGCUACGAGAGGAGUUCGCGAUCGCUCUCCUUGCUGCCCUACAACCAAAUCAACCCUAAAACGG